rnacentral:misc_RNA from 1 species
UUUUAGCAGCGAAUCUCACGCAGCCCGACUUGAGUGGAGCUCUUUUUGUUAUUGCGAUUGCUGAAAAGUUCAACUUGUUGACUCACUUUCUUCGCAAUGACAAAAAAGCGGGAACGGAAGGCGGAAAUAGCU